rnacentral:rRNA from 1 species
UACGUAGGGUGCAAGCGUUGUCCGGAAUUAUUGGGCGUAAAGAGCUCGUAGGCGGUCUGUCGCGUCUGCUGUGAAAUCCCGAGGCUCAACCUCGGGCUUGCAGUGGGUACGGGCAGACUAGAGUGCGGUAGGGGAGACUGGAAUUCCUGGUGUAGCGGUGGAAUGCGCAGAUAUCAGGAGGGAACACCGAUGGCGAAGGCAGGUCUCUGGGCCGCAACUGACGCUGAGGAGCGAAAGCA